rnacentral:miRNA from 1 species
UAUUGGGUUGGCCAAAAAGUUCUUCGGGUUUUUCCAUAAGAUGUUACAAAAACCCAAACGAACUUUUUGGCCAAGGCAAU